rnacentral:lncRNA from 1 species
UAAAUUUCUUUUGCAGCAAGCAUGUUCCUAUCAACAACAAUUCGUGAUUGGAGCGAGCUACUCACGCAAUUCGGUAGAAGGAAAAAAAAUUAUGUCAGACAUUUAUUAUGUGCUUCUGUUAGUUAAAAGCUUUUUUUGCUAUAAUUUAUUUAUAAUAUUAAAGUUUUAUAAUUUACAAGACUUUGUUGCUGUAUUUGUAUUUGAAGCUACUCAGCAAUUCUAAGACAUUAAACGUGAAAAAAUCAGUAAAGAAGAGAAGAAACCAUCAUCAUCUCACAUCAUACACCAAAUACUUGGCAACAUGUUGUACAUCUACAAACAUUCAUGCUAGGC